AAGAAGGACCUUCGGGUUGUAAAGUACUUUCAGCAGUGAGGAAGGUGGGUAUGUUAAUAGCAUAUUCAUUUGACGUUUAGCUGCAGAAGAAGCACCGGCUAACUCCGUGCCAGCAGCCGCGGUAAUACGGAGGGUGCGAGCGUUAAUCGGAAUUACUGGGCGUAAAGCGCAUGCAGGUGGUUUGUUAAGUCAGAUGUGAAAGCCCGGGGCUCAACCUCGGAAUUGCAUUUGAAACUGGCAAACUAGAGUACUGUAGAGGGGGUAGAAUUUCAGGUGUAGCGGUGAAAUGCGUAGAGAUCUGAAGGAAUACCGGUGGCGAAGGCGGCCCCCCUGGACAGAUACUGACACUCAGAUGCGAAAGCGUGGGGAGCAAACAGGAUUAGAUACCCUGGUAG
rnacentral:rRNA from 1 species